rnacentral:rRNA from 1 species
CCUACGGGAGGCAGCAGUGAGGAAUAUUGGUCAAUGGACGAGAGUCUGAACCAGCCAAGUAGCGUGAAGGAUGACUGCCCUAUGGGUUGUAAACUUCUUUUAUAUGGGAAUAAAAUGUUCCACGUGUGGGAUUUUGUAUGUACCAUAUGAAUAAGGAUCGGCUAACUCCGUGCCAGCAGCCGCGGUAAUACGGAGGAUCCGAGCGUUAUCCGGAUUUAUUGGGUUUAAAGGGAGCGUAGGUGGAUUGUUAAGUCAGUUGUGAAAGUUUGCGGCUCAACCGUAAAAUUGCAGUUGAAACUGGCAGUCUUGAGUACAGUAGAGGUGGGCGGAAUUCGAGGUGUAGCGGUGAAAUGCUUAGAUAUCACGAAGAACUCCGAUUGCGAAGGCAGUUCACUGGACUGCAACUGACACUGAGGCUCGAAAGUGUGGGUAUCAAACAGGAUUAGAUACCCCAGUAGUC